rnacentral:lncRNA from 10 species
AGCAAAUUACAUGCAGGCCCUGCCGCAGCGUCAAGGCAGGGUGUCUGCGACUCUGGAAGCCCCAGAGGGCAUGUUACAGUGCCCUUUUAGCUCUGUCAUCCGUGGACGGCUUAAGUAUGAACAGUCAGUGAGCCCUCUGCCCUUUCACAUGAGGCAGCUGCCCUCUGCCAUUGAGGGCAAAGGGCCAGUGUAGCAGCCUUUUGUAUCCACACUUGUGUCCCCUGAGCUCUUGUCCAGCAUCCAGGAGAAAAGAAGUCGCACGAAUAAACUGAAGGAUGCUAAAUGCAGGGAAUUUUAUUGCCAGUGAAAGUGGCUGUCAGUGGGAAGGGGAGCUGAAAAGGAGACAGGAGGAAUCGGCAUAGUUGGGACACUUAACUGAAAUGAUUGGACCACACUGUGAAGGACAUAAAGAGCUAUGAAAAAUCCCAGCUUUGUUGCUCUACAGAACACAGAAAUAUCUGAAUGAACAAAUUCAGUAAGCCACCCUGAUAUGUUGUCUCUGCAACAUGAUCCAUUCACCUAUAUAUAGAUAUUUAGGUUUCUCAUUUUCUUCUUGAUGUUUGAUAUCAUAAAAAUAUAGACAACAUCCAUGGAUCCUGAUGAUCAAAAAUGUUUUUCUCCAGGUCUUAAGAUCGUUUAGUCAGAGGUGCAUUUCAAUGCAGUUGGUUCAUUUCUGAGCCCUGGGACUCUCUUGUGUGUGUUUGUAGAAGGCAUGGAAUAACAGUUUGUUUUGCUCUCACCUUCACCUCUCUUCUUAAGGCGCAAGCUGAGCUUUAUAGUUCAGAAGUUAAACACAUUAGAAUAUUUAUUUAAAGGCAAUUGCACUUCCUGCUGUCUGGGUAGCUGGGCUCACCAGGCCACUAGACCCCCAAAUGUGUAUUUGCCUUCUGGUGGCCCAGCCUGCAGGGCCAUUGUCUCCCUGUUGUUAGCAAAUGGUUUCCUCCACAAGCCUUUUAACUCCACAAGUUUGCAACCAUUAAUUCUUAAGGGUUUUGACAAAUCUCCCCAGUUAAAUAUUAAACAAUAAAUAUGGCCCGGAUGGUAACAGUGCAUUGUGAAGUCUGUUUGAAGUGUCCUUUAAAAUAUUAAAUUCAAAUAAAUGAUUGAAUCAGAACAAAGGCUAUAUCUUAAGACAAAUUCAGCCAAGUCUCUUUAACCUUUGAGCUUUCAACAUAGAUUAGAAAGCCAGGGCAACGCAUGCUUUCAUAGCAAAUUGAAAUGGGAUUUUUGAAACAGUUCCUGCAAAUACAGGUAACCCAUACCUAGGUUUGAUCUGCCUUUGCCAUUUUGGGGGAGAGAUUUUGCUGCUCAUUGUUUGAUAAAAAUGUGAUUUUUUAAAAAGCCCUUAUGUUCAAAGAAGCAAAUCCUUGAAAACGCUAGCUUUGGGUGCUAUGUUUAUUCCUUGUCAAUGUCUUCCAUAUGAAAUCUGUUCUGCUUAUAAUAUCUACCACAGUUGGAGCCU